rnacentral:sRNA from 1 species
UGGCGGAACCGGGCGGCGCGGCGGGCCGGUCCCAUCCGGAAGAUGGAUCGGCUUCUGAGGGAGAGAAGGAAGGGAAUAAUGAAAGCCACAUGGUGUCACCACCAGAGAAGGAUGAUGGCCAGAAAGGUGAAGAAGCUGUCGGUAGCACAGAGCAUCCUGAAGAAGUCACAACCCAAGCGGAAGCUGCAAUUGAAGAGGGGGAGGUCCAGACAGAAGGGGAAGCAGCAGUGGAAGGGGAAGAGGAGGCUGUGUCCUAUGGAGAUGCUGAAAGCGAAGAGGAAUAUUACUAUACAGAAACUUCAUUCCCGGAAGGGCAAAUCAGUGCUACAGAUACAACUUACCCGUAUUUCAGUCCUCCUCAGGAACUGCCUGGAGAGGAGGCGUACGAUAGUGUUAGCGGGGAGGCUGGUCUCCAAGGCUCCCAGCAAGAGGCCACCGGUCCACCAGAAUCCAGAGAAGGGAGGGUCACCUCCCCAGAGCCAUUCCACGGAGUCUUAGGCCCGUCGGAGCAAAUGGGCCAGGUCACCUCUGGGCCAGCAGUGGGCAGAUUGGUGAGUAGCCCUGACUUCUGUUUUGUGGCAGUGUCGCACGGCCCACGGGGUUUGUCACCCUAUGUGAGGAACUUGGGAAUACAUUAUAAAUACAAAUUGCAAUCCCUGUUAGAAAUGUCUUAGCAAGGCUGGGUGCAGUGGCUCACGCCUGUAAUCCCAGCACUUUGGGAGGCGAAGGUGGGUGGAUCACCUGAGGUCAGGAGUUCGAGACCAGCCUGGCCAACGUGGUGAAAUCCUGUCUCUACUAAAUAUGCAAAAAUUAGGC